GACGAACGCUGGCGGCGUGCUUAACACAUGCAAGUCGAACGAUGAACCAGGGCUUGCCCUGGGGAUUAGUGGCGAACGGGUGAGUAACACGUGGGCAACCUGCCCCAGACACCGGGAUAACCUCUCGAAAGAGUGGCUAAUACCGGAUACGACCACUUUGGGCAUCCCACGGGGGGGGAAAGGAUUCUGGUCUGGGAUGGGCCCGCGGCCUAUCAGCUUGUUGGUGGGGUAAUGGCCUACCAAGGCGACGACGGGUAGCCGGCCUGAGAGGGCGACCGGCCACACUGGGACUGAGACACGGCCCAGACUCCUACGGGAGGCAGCAGUGGGGAAUAUUGCGCAAUGGGCGAAAGCCUGACGCAGCGACGCCGCGUGAGGGACGAAGGUCUUCAGAUUGUAAACCUCUUUCAGCUGGGAAGAUAAUGACGGUACCAGCAGAAGAAGCCCCGGCUAACUCCGUGCCAGCCGCCGCCGUAA
rnacentral:rRNA from 1 species